rnacentral:ncRNA from 2 species
AACAGCAUAUUACUCCGAGCCCGGUAACCUAAAGGAUAUCUCUCCAAGAUUUCCGGGCCUUAGGGUUCGCCUGGAAACGGACGAGCCUCCCAUUGUGGAAAGGAGACUUCACCGGAUAAAG